rnacentral:rRNA from 1 species
AUUGAACGCUGGCGGCAGGCCUAACACAUGCAAGUCGAACGAGUGGCGGACUGGUGAGUAAUGUCUGGGAAACUGCCUGACGGAGGGGGAUAACUACUGGAAACGGUAGCUAAUACCGCAUACCAUUGGAUGUGCCCAGAUGGGUUUAGCUAGUCGGUGGGGUAAAGGCUCACCGAGGCGACGAUCCCUAGCUGGUCUGCGAGGAUUACCGGCCACACUGGAACUGAGACACGGUCCAGACUCCUACGGGAGGCAGCAGUGGGGAAUAUUGCACAAUGGGCGCAAGCCUGAUGCAGCCAUGCCGCGUGUAUGAAGAAGGCCUUCGGGUUGUAAAGUACUUUCAGCGAGGAGGCGUUACUCGCAGAAGAAGCAUCGGCUAACUCCGUGCCAGCAGCCGCGGUAAUUC